UCACAGACAGGGCAUGGGCAUGGGCAUGGUGCUGGGGCCUGGAUUCAGGCUGCUGGUGGAAGAUGUGGCAAAUGCAGGAAUAACCGUGUAGCUGUGCAGAGGACCUCAGGCCAUAGGUGUCUUCUCAGCCGUUGAGGCCUACUUAGGUUUGGGGCCAGAGGG
rnacentral:lncRNA from 1 species